CGCGUCGCUGCGGUGCGUCCCUCCUCAUUCUCCCUCCCUUCCCUUCACCUCUCUGUCUCUCCCUCUCGCCAUUUUCCCUCGCGGCGACGAUUGGGAGCGCCGCCGCCCUUCGCCAGCGACGAGCACCCACCUGGUAUGCCCGACCCUUCGCUUCCCUUCCUGCUGUGCGAAACCGAGCAUCCCAAACCCUAAUACCCAUAAUAAUGCACUGGGAUGAAAGAGAAAAACUACCUGCAGAAACCACAAGCUUUCGAGAAAGUUCCUGUGCUUGUUGUCCAUAUUAGCUGUGAGAUGGUCGAGGAAGUCACUGAAGCUGCUCUCUUUGUAUCUGGGGGGAUUUUCUUCAUCCACUAGCUCCUUGGCACAGGACUUCCAUGUGGUCACCAAUGUGGACAUGCAAAGCGUGUGGAAGUUGCUGGACCCUUUUCCAGAUGUUGGUGCUGGGGUCGACAACUUCAAGGCCCUGACAACUUGUGAGCAGGAUGGUAAGGAAUCCAUAAUCAGAAUGUGGAGCCAGCCCUAUACUUGUGGCACUUUGUGAUGCUUUGGGAUAGCAGUUCACCGACAAUAGCUGGGAGCCUUCAUGAAAUUUCUCAUUCAGGUCGCCGGAGUUCCUCCGAUGCAAACUUUUCCUUUGUCUCACUUGGCAGUUUGAAGAAUUCUGAAGCUGCUUCAAGAGCACUGUCCAUGACAGAUUGACUGAUCCCAUGGUUUAUAACCUGCAAAAUGGAGCAACUAUUGGAGAUUUGGACAGGGAAAUAAGCUGUCUUUGUUCCCUUAUAGUUGAGGAUCUGGCAAUGGUUUAUGGAAUGGCAAUCGAUCAAGUUCUCUUCUGAAAACAAAAUUUGGCAUCGCACCCUAAAAACUUCCAACGACAGAUGGGACAUCUUACAAUCUGCCAUCCAAAGUACUAAAAUGGCGUUCCCUGGAGUUCCUAAUGGAAAUGUUAGCCAUUGUGAUGAAAUCUGAAGGGCAAGAUGGGAAUUGAAGUUCUUGUCAACCUGGAGCCGGUCCUCCUCACUUCCAGUACUUUCAGUUCAGUAAAACUAGCUGAUUCAUCCAGCAAUUGUCAAAGGUGUGGAGCCAACUUAAAGCAUCAGACUCUUAAUUUUUGGAGCCAAAAGUGUGAAUGUAGUUCAUGAAACAAUGCAGUUGAAUAGCGACAGAAUGCUUGUAUCAUAUUCAUCUGGGUGUACUAACAGUGAGAUGAUAUCAGAGCUAGCUGCUGGGCUCAAAAGAAGGUCUGAUGUCAAAGCUUCUCAAGCUGUUUAUCUACUGUAGAAUUUCUUCAAGAAUACUUUAGUUUGUCAGUUUUUGCCUUGGACAAGUGACAAGUCAGCUUCCUCGGUACACUCGAGCAGCGGUCACAGGUAGCAAUAAUUAUCAGUCUCAGACAAAGGAAAAGGUCAAGGCAAAGACAAGGAAAGGACAAAAGAAACCUGUUAUGCAGUGUUCUAAAGGAGCAUACCUGGAAGUACCCUAGAUCACGGGAUGCUUUGGCGAUAUCAUCAACCACAUGGGAUCGGGUUGCGGAAUCAAGGCUGAGGUGGCCGAGGUUGAUCACCGGCAUUUGCAGCGGAUGCAGGUCCUCGGAUGGGAGCUGCUCCUGAGGGACAGUCCUUGACAAGUCAGACAUGUUGGCUGACAAACCACAGCACCAGACACAGAGAGGUCAAUCUACUAUUCAGAAUCAGAAUAUGGAACGGGGUACAACCGUUGUGACUCCAUCUACUUAUAGGAUGCUGAAAUCCCAGGUACGUGAGACACCGCCUCUUGGCUUUGCAGUGCUUGCUCCUAAGGAAUGAAAGUAUAGAAGCGUACAUACACCUGAUGGUCUUCACCUGGUCCGUGCUUUGCUCCAAAUGAGAGGUCAAGGCAUAUGCAUGUCGGGCCAUACACGCAUUCGUCAGCAUUCUGGUCCAGGAGAAGGUCCUGGGCUGGCACUGCAUGGGCGUGCCUGUUUGUCUGUGCACCCUGCAAGUAAAAAAUUGUAAGCAUCAUAGGCUGGAUAGAGCUCCAGCUCCAGGCCUCUCACUCUUGCCGCGUUUCUUUCAGUUCUCCAUAGCGUGUUAACAUCGCGGCGGCAGGGGCAUGCAACUGGUGUUUUCUUAUGACCCAAGGCUUACGUGGAUAAUAUUGUUUGGAGGCGAGUUGUUUUGCUGAUGUUGCUGAAUUGUUGCCCAGGGGGUUCUCAUGUGGGCAUAACGCCUAAAUGAUCCGUCAGUUAUAUAUGGUGCAGUGGCAGGGUCCCAAAAAGGGUGCUCUUGGCAUGGUGUGUGUUGACUACUUGACUGCGAGGGGGAGCAUGGUGGUUGAUCUCCAGCCACAGGAGCAGUCGGACGUGCGGUUUUGUGCAGGGUGCUGACGCCUGUCCAGGUUCAGGGUUUUUGAGUUCGACGUACUAGCUGCUGGUGCAACAGAGGACAGACCUUCAUGUGGGCGCCCGGUAUGUUUGUCAAGGUUCUAGCUCUUCGCUGAACCUUCUCUUUUCAUCGUGGACUGACUCAAGUUGCAGUGCAUGGGUGCAAGUGUAAUAUAAUGUUGCUUACGUUUCCGAUGUCAAUAACUCCUGCUGCUCUGUCUAGUUUGGAUGAAUGCCAUGAAGAAGAUAUACGAGUGUUUCUGUCAU